GACGAACGCUGGCGGCGUGCUUAACACAUGCAAGUCGAACGGAAAGGCCCUGCUUUUGUGGGGUGCUCGAGUGGCGAACGGGUGAGUAACACGUGAGUAACCUGCCCUUGACUUUGGGAUAACUUCAGGAAACUGGGGCUAAUACCGGAUAGGAGCUCCUGCUGCAUGGUGGGGGUUGGAAAGUUUCGGCGGUUGGGGAUGGACUCGCGGCUCAUCAGCUUGUUGGUGGGGUAGUGGCUUACCAAGGCUGUGACGGGUAGCCGGCCUGAGAGGGGUACCGGCGACAAUGGGACUGAGAUAGGGCCCAGACUCCUACGGGAGGCAGCAGUGGGGAAUAUGGCACAAUGGGCGGAAGCCUGAUGCAGCAACGCCGCGUGCGGGAUGACGGCCUUCGGGUUGUAAACCGCUUUCGCCUGUGACGAAGCGUGAGUGACGGUAAUGGGUAAAGAAGCACCGGCUAACUACGUG
rnacentral:rRNA from 1 species